UCGCUCUUCAACGAGGAAUCCCUAGUAAGCACAAGUCAUCAGCUUGUGUUGAUUACGUCCCUGCCCUUUGUACACACCGCCCGUCGCUACUACCGAUUGAAUGGCUUAGUGAGACCCUCGGAUUGGUAUUCUGAAGCUUUAACCGGCAUCUGUUUGCUGAGAAGUUGGUCAAACUUGGUCAUUUAGAGGAAGUAAAAGUCGUAACAAGGUUUCCGUAGGUGAACCUGCGGAAGGAUCAUUAAUGAUUUUUAAAGCGAGUCGAGCGUUAAGCGAGGCUUGCGAAAAUAUUUAAAACCCCACUCUUUUUAACUUUAAAAAAUAAAUCAUGAUACGUGAAUUUAAAAAAAAAGAUCACUUUCAACAACGGAUCUCUUGGCUCUCGCAUCGAUGAAGAACGCAGCGAAAUGCGAUACGUAGUGUGAAUUGCAGAACUUUGUGAACCAUCGAAUCUUUGAACGCAAAUUGCGCCCUUGUUUAGAGGGCAUGUCUGUUUGAGGGCCACCUUAAUCAAAUAAUGCACGCGCAUGUGGUGCACGUUGAUGGACUUUCCGACGAAUCUACAUCUGUGGACGACGUCGGUGGUUCGUAAUGAAGACGCGACGUGUGGAGGCUUUCGAUCGAGUGUAGUAAACAUGCAAUGAUUUCGACGCUUGAUGGUUGGGAGUCUUCGGUCGCGAUACGGGCGUGGCGACGAACUGCCACUCUUCCCCUCGGGAAGACUACAUUUUUCUCGUGGGCCUCAAAUCAGACAAGAAUACCCGCUGAACUUAAGCAUAUCAAUAAGCGGAGGAAAAGAAACUAACAAGGAUUCCCCUAGUAACGGCGAGUGAAGCGGGAAAAGCUCAAAUUUUAAAUCUGACUGACGCGAUUUCAGUCCGAGUUGUAGUUUGAAGAAGCGCGUCGCGCUUGGAACGUCGACACAAGUCCUCUGGAACGAGUGCAUCAUAGAGGGUGAGAAUCCCGUCUUUGGUCUUUGUUCCUCGUGCACACGGCGCGCUUUCAAAGAGUCGAGUUGUUUGGGAUUGCAGCUCAAAACGGGUGGUAAACUCCAUCUAAGGCUAAAUAUAGGCGAGAGACCGAUAGCGAACAAGUACCGUGAGGGAAAGAUGAAAAGAACUUUGAAAAGAGAGUCAAACAGUACGUGAAAUUGUUGAAAGGGAAACGAUUGAAGUCAGUCGUGCCGGUGGGGAUUCAACCACUCGGACUCGUCCGGGUUGUGUAUUUUCUCGCAUGGCAGGUCAGCGUCAGUUUUGGUUGCCGCGAAAUGACUCUGGUAAGGUAGCUCCCUUCGGAGAGUGUUAUAGACCGGAGUAGAUGCGGUGGCCGGGACUGAGGAUUGCAGCAGACACCCUUCGGGGCGCUGUGGUCGGCCCCUGUUCGCGUACCCGUGUCCGACAGCGUGCUGACGGGCGUGGGAGCGCGCGGGCACUGGGUUGACACCACAUGCGGUUUUGCUUAGGACGCUGACGUAAUGGCUUUAAACGACCCGUCUUGAAACACGGACCAAGGAGUCUAACAUAUGUGCGAGUGUUU
rnacentral:rRNA from 1 species